UACGUAGGGGGCAAGCGUUGUCCGGAUUCAUUGGGCGUAAAGAGCGUGUAGGCGGCCAGGUAGGUCGGUUGUGAAAACUCGAGGCUCAACCUCGAGAUGUCGGCUGAAACCAUCUGGCUAGAGUCCGGAAGAGGAGAAUGGAAUUCCCGGGUGUAGCGGUGAAAUGCGCAGAUAUCGGGAAGAACACCCGUGGCGAAAGCGGCUCUCUGGACCAGUACCGACGUCAGGCACGAAAGCGUGGGGAGCAAACAGG
rnacentral:rRNA from 1 species